UUGAGGCUAAGUGAGGCACUCUGUGAGACAGGCCUGGAGGGGGAAUGCAGACAGUACAGGACUCUGGGCAGGCAGGAUGUACGGGCCAUAAAUUCUCAUGCUAAUCAGCAUCUCCGCCAUGCUGCUCCUUUUUUCAUACCUUCCCAGUAUGAAGGGCUGCAGCUGCAGAACUCGACUUAAAAAGUUUGACUAAAUCUUUCCAGCAGUCCGCCAAAAAAAAAAGAAGGAAAACACAUCCACUGUAAGGCCAGCGAAACAUUUUGUGCUAAUGGUCAGCUUUAUUAAUCCUCACAUACAGACUCGGUGGCCAUUCACAGUGUGACAUUUCUAACCAAUCCACAGACGUCGUAAUCUCCGGGCAACUGAAACGAGGCAGGGAGGUUUUUGGCCAAAAUUGACCCAGCUGGUGCCUGUUAUCCCAAAAAGGCCACCCCAGCUCCUGGAGAGUGACAUCUGCACAGAGGGACGGAGUUCCAGCCUCUGCAGGCGGACAGAAAGGAAGAGGUACAGUUUGUGAAGAGGGGAGGGACGACCUGCAGAGGCUCGGGGGCCACAGCUGGGGAGGCAGGUGCCACAAGCCGGUUUAUGCUACGCUCAGAUUGCUGGUGCCAACCUGUCAGUGGAAAAUUAUUUAGGCAUGUUUGCACUAAGUGUGCCAUUUUCGCAAGCAGAGCUAGAGCCAACCUACUUGACAUUACAAAGUCUGAAAUAUGUUCUGUACCAUUGCAACCAUGUAACGUUUGAAUCUGAGACCGAAUUAAUUGUCAUGGCAACCGGCAGGAAGUGGCUUUGAGUGCUGUUCGGACUUUCGCAUGGAGAGCUGUGACAAACAAAUCUAAGCUUCAGAUUUCUUUGUAUUUGGGCCAAAAUGUAAUCAUAUG